UCUUCUCUCUUUUGUCCACUGGAGGGAAGGGAUUGAGAGAGGGGCUUGGUGGGCACUUGGUGUCCUGCAAAGAUCAACCUCAACCCCGCAGAGCCCCAAGUUGUCAGCAGAGCAGGGUCCCAGGCUUGUCCCUGCCCCUGGUUCCAAGGUCUCCAGGCUGUGCCUGAGGAAUGCCCAGUGACGGUGACCUCCCAAAGGGCACUUGCUGUGGGACGUGAGAGCAGAGGGAUGGGGGCUUGGGGUCACGUGCACAGGUGAUGCAGGGCCCCUGGAGAGGGAGGCUGGUGGUGCAGAGACCCCCGGAAUGGGUCCCUGUGGGACCCUGCAGUGAGCAGGGGAUGGUGGCCGGGGCAUCUCCACCAGGGAUCAGUUGAAGACCCACAACAAGACCCUCAGGAACCAGUCAGUGCUGCUGGUGGUGCUGGUGAGAUAUUUCCUAGGAGGGGUCUUGUGGCCCUUUUCCACCCACUCCAAUGACCUGUUGAGGCCUGGCUGUGAAGGAAGUGAACUUCUAAAAUCCCUGGUAGAAUAAAGGAGGCAGAGGCGUCUCAGGCUUUGAUGCAGGAGAACUUUAUUGAGACAACAGAAUAAACAGAAAGGAGCAGCCAGUGGAAAA